rnacentral:rRNA from 1 species
UCCACAGGUGCUGCAUGGCCGUCGUCAGCUCGUGUCGUGAGAUGUUGGGUUAAGUCCCGCAACGAGCGCAACCCCUGUGAUUAGUUGCCAGCACGUAAUGGUGGGGACUCUAGUCAGACUGCCCAGAUCAACUGGGAGGAAGGUGGGGACGACGUCAGGUCAGUAUGGCCCUUACGCCUUGGGCUGCACACGUACUACAAUGCCCAGCACAAUGAGAACCGAGACCGCGAGGUGGAGGAAAUCUGUAAAACUGGGCCCAGUUCGGAUUGGAGGCUGCAACUCGCCUCCAUGAAGCCGGAAUCGCUAGUAAUGCUGCAUCAGCUACGGCAGCGUGAAUACGUUCCCGGGUCUUGUAACACACCGA